rnacentral:lncRNA from 1 species
UUUACUGAACGAGUGCUAUUGUAAACAGAGUCAGUGUCAACACCAGAAAGUGCUUCCUGAUCUGGCAGUUUAAUUGCUCUCCUGAUUUCCAUGCUUUUCACUCUUUAUGAAAUGUGACGUUUUCUCUACAUCUUGUACAAAUACAGGAAUGAGAGAAGACGCACUGUGCUGUGGGAGGCGUUGCUCCAGGACUCCAGCCGAGUUUCCGUGACUACAGAGCAUGGAUAUGGAGGAUGCGAUUCCUCCAUAGUACAGGAGACUGAUCAGAUGACCUUGGGUUUCUCCUUCUGCACCCAUUGCCAAGACCAUAUGUGCUUAAGUGAGGAAGCUGUGAAUAAGGGGUGCUUCCCUCAUGGCCAAUUCAGGGAUCAUAGAUGUAGGUGAGGAGGUACACGGAUGACAGCCAGGAUCAGGGAGGGCAUUUUUAACCAGGCUGCCUCCCCCGAAUCUGCUCUAAAGAUGGGACUAUUUUCUCCGUAUUAUUUUAUAGGAUCUUUUAUGGCUAACUCAUCUUAUAGAUUAAGCCAGUUGUCAAAAUGUUUCUGUAAAGGG